rnacentral:sRNA from 12 species
GUGGUGGCGCGGGGGUUUUACCGUUUCCUCCGCUUAAGUCCGGCCGAAGCAGAACGGUGUCAGGCAGGACUACACCAC